rnacentral:misc_RNA from 1 species
GUGAGUCAUCGAAUCUUUGAACGCACAUUGCGCCCCUUGGCAUUCCGAGGGGCAUGCCCGUUCGAGCGUCAUUAUAACCCCUCAAGCCUAGCUUGGUGUUGGGGCCUGCUGUUACCGGCAGCCCUUAAAAUCAGUGGCGGUGCUAUCUGGCUCUAAGCGUAGUAAUACUUCUCGCUACAGGGUCCCGGUGGAUGCUUGCCAUCAACCCCUAAUUUUCUAUGGUUGACCUCGGAUCGGGUAGGGAUACCCGCUGAACUUAAGCAUAUCAAUAAGCGGAGGA